AAAGGGUCGUAUCGUUGGAUCAGUUUGUAUUGGUUCGUCAGUGCAAGAGGUUGUACAGAAUGCUUCGUCAGCUGUUGAUUGCUAGUCUGGUUCUUAUGUUUGUGGUCGGAUGCCUGGCACCCUUCCCUCGGGAGGAUCCAA